ensembl:lncRNA
ACCUGUUUGUUGCAGGAUUCAGUCGGCUGAGACAUCACUUUUGGGGAACAUUGAAGAAGAGAUCCAGUGUUGAAUUAGUCAUGUCUAAUGAAAUGCACUGAUAUAUGAUAAAUACCUAGCAUAUGGGCACACAACAAAUGCACCAUUCAUGCCCACUCUUUCCAGAAGGCACAUUGACAGUUCUCGUCUUUACUCACUGCCUGAACCUUUCCUUACCCUUUGACCAAACCUAACCACUUCUUACCUUUUUCUUUUGUUUUGCUUUGUUUUUCUGCAUCUCUAGGUAUUUGCCUCUGUUGCUCCCUUUGCCUGGAAGCUUACCUAGUCCCAUCCAUGCCUUUGGAAAUCACGCGAAAAUGCUUCGAGCUGGAUCCCACGUGUCAUCACCUCAACAAAAGCCUUUCCCUGAGCUGUUUAACCGACCGUGCUUCCUCAAAACAGUCUCCUGGCCUCAGCGUGGGUGACCCGGAAGCACUUAAAAGGGCGGAUGCAGAACAGACGGUUAGGGAAGCAAAUCAUUUAACACUCCAUUAACUGGAACCACAUGUGAAACCGUGCUGAAGAAACAGUUUUAAAAAGAACUCUAUCUUCUUGUGACUUAAAACUUACUUCAUUCUAUGUGUCACGAUAGGUGUGCAAACACUAAUGAUACGGGCUGCUCAUACAGAGGGAAUGGAGAUGUGGUAUCACAGUUGCUAGAAUUUACCUUCUACGAACAAGAGAUUUCCCUACCAGUCUUCUGCUCUGAAUUCCGACUUUAUAUGUGCGCUUCAUCGCAUUAACAAUUUCUGUGAUAUCCAAGAGCUCAGAAACCAUGGCAAAUUCUCGGCGGGGAAAAAACAUUCAAGUUUAUAAAUUUGGGUAUUAAGCAAAUUAGACCCUAUUAUGACAAAGAGACCUUUGGUUUUCAUGCAUGAUGUGAUAGAAAAAAGAUAACAGAAGAAAGUCAUUCAAUGUUAAUCUGCACAUUUCAUUUUUAUCCUAAUUGUGUGCAAAUGAAAAGGGUCUCUGAACAUUCAAAAGGAUUUUUCACUACUCAUUAACCACAUAUAAAUGCAUGGGCAGUGGUUGGCCCCCGAAAAUUGCCUUGAAGGUCACUUGAAUGUAUAGCUUCUGGUUAAAGGGCAGACCUUUCCUCCCAGGCCUCAUCAAUUCUGCGGCUCUCCGUAGUUAGACUUGCUAAUAAUCGUGGAAUUUAUUACCAGCUCUGAUGGGGACUGGGUCAUCGUCUGUGCACCAGGGUCAAAGUAAAAAGAAUACGGUCAUGUGAUUCAAUGCGUGACCUCAAGCCACAUUUAAAUGGUUACAGCCCUAGCUCUUCAGAGAUCAGAUUCUAGUAGAGCUCGGAUUCAUUCCCACACAUGCACCUGUUGCCCAGCCAAAGCAAACUACCGGAAGGCCCUCGAUGUUUCAGCUCUUCGUUUGCUUUGCCUCCGCGCGAGAGAAGCACUCUUUCCACCUAAAAUCCAUGCACAUACGUUUUGAGAUUUUUGCAGUUUCAAAAAAUUGAUAUUUAAAAAUAAGGGCGCCUGGGUGGCUCUGUUGGUUAGGCGGCCGACUCUUGAUUUCGGCUCAGGUCAUGAUCUCACUGUUCGUGAGUUCAGGCCCCACAUAGGGCUCCGCACAGUCGAUGCAGAGCCUGUUUGGGAUUCUCUGUCUCCCUCUCUGCCCCUCCCAUGCUCAUGCUCAUGCUCGCUCUCUCUGUCCAAAUAAAUAAACUUUAAAAUAUAUGUAAAAAAUAAAU